UCAUUUUUUUUCAUUCUUUCUUCUUCAACCAUGGGAAAGAACUGAAAAUGGCAGCCAUGGAUGAGCUCCAUUCAGCCAAGCUUCUAUGGCUUAUAUAGAUGAUGAAAAUUGAGACUUGGACCUAGAACGGAAAGAAAUCGAUUUAUGGACGAGUAUGUCCUUUUCACCUUUGUGGUAUCGAGAGUUUCCAGGUUAGCUCGGGUUGGAGGCCGUCAGAGAUAUUAUCACCCUAUCGAGUUAACGUUAUCGGAGUAAGUAAACUCAAGUGAUUCGAGUCUAUGGCAUGUAUAGGGUUUUAAUGUGAGUAUGUAAUAUUAUGAUUUAGCCAAAGGCAUUGGCUUGUUAUUAAGGUAGUAUUAGUCAUGUAAAUUGGCCUAUGUCGGCUAAUGACAUUAUGGGCCCAUAUGAUUAUUCUUAUGCAUGUAUGUUAUUAUCUCUUGUGAUGUGGCUUACAACAUGUAUGCCUAGAGAUUGAAUGGAGAUUCAUUGAUGAGCUAGUAAUUAAUGCAGGAUUAAGUGAUUGGUAAAUAGUUAAUAAUGCUUCAUGAAUGGUUUGUGAUGUAAUGAUAGUUAUGUCUAGUAUGUGGUAAUGAUAUGGGCAAAUUCUAUAAUAUUUAUUACAUAAGAAAAUAACUCGAGCAUAA